GGGUCUGUAGCUCAGGUGGUUAGAGUACCGUCUUGAUAAGGCGGGGUCGUAGGUUCAAGUCCUACCAGACCCACCA
rnacentral:tRNA from 1 species